rnacentral:rRNA from 1 species
UACAGAGGGUGCGAGCGUUGUCCGGCCUCCCUUUUCUUCCAUUUCUCUUAUUUUUCACUACAAGUCCGUGGUGAAAGCUCGACGCUCAACGUCGAGUCGGCCACUGAUACUGUUGAGCUGGAGCACUGUAGAGGCAGAUGGAAUUCCGGGUGUAGCGGUGGAAUGCGUAGAGAUCCGGAAGAACACCGGUGGCGAAGGCGGUCUGCUGGGCAGUAGCUGACACUGAGGCGCGACAGCGUGGGGAGCAAACAGG